AGAGGAAUUAGUAUAGAGCAGUGGCCUCCGGAUUGAGCCGAAGUUAGAUCAUUAGUUACUUUAAUCAGUGCAGUCUCAGUAGAAUUGAUGGGGCAGAAGCCAGACUGAAGAGAGUCGAAGACCGCGUUCUGGAAAGUUUGAGGAGAAAGGUAGCAGAGAUAUGGGACGGAAGUUAGACAGGGAAGAUAGGUCAAAAGAUGGCUUUUUUUAGGACAAGUACAACUGUGGCAUGUUUAAGGGGAGCAAAACAAUGCCAGAAGAAAGAGAGCAGUUGAAGAUAUGCGUUAAGGGUGGCACAAGACAUUGGAAG